UUCAACUGGCCACCAGGGCUUGGACAAUGAGCAACUUAACACUGACCAGAACGGAUCCGAUCAAGGUUCUGCCAAGGUUCUUGGAAUCCCCAAAGUUCUAGAAUCCUCAAGACCUCAGAGUUCUGUGUGGCAGGAGAGCGAAGGCCCUGAAAAGUGGCUGAGAUUGACUUUUCUGAGGGUCUUGUAGGUGGGUCUUAGUAUGACUUAAUUUAAUUUACAAAAUCCGCAAAAUGUGUCAUGGAACACAUUCCCAAGUGUCGUGGACUAUUUAUAUCAGUUACACUAAUAAUGACCAAAUCCUGAAGGGAAUUUUUCUAACAUACUCGGUAAAACAGGUCUUAGUUGUUGUUGUUGUUGUUGUUGUUGUUGUUUAAUCCUUUGGAAAUGGCUGAUCAAUAAUUGACAGGCUAUAAUGAUUCUAAGCCCUUCUACUGGUAAAAAUAUCUGCUACCCUGGUAAUUUAAAUUCCAAAUUACCUCCAGAUGAGGCUUUAAAAACACCCUGUGAUUAAAUCCACACCAAAUGGAGUUUCUGUGGGAACCUUUGCUGACUCUGAGGACAGCCUGAGUUUGUGGAAGGCUGGGAUCUGGACUGGGCUAGAAAUGAAACUUGGGGCCCCGAGAACCUCAUCUACAGGACUCGGCCAGGGAGCCAUUAGCCCUGGAGGCUGGCCCAGAGCUGAACAACCUUUACCUGGAAAUGCCUUAGGAGGAGGCACUGGGAAACCUCUCUAGAAGCUCACAACUUGUCUCACCUGCUCUUAUUAGACCAUAGAGGUAGGACUCGGGGGUGGGGGCCACCGGGCAGGAGGCUGGGCCCAAGGGUUGGGAGCAGCUGCCUACAUCUGUCUGUGCGUCUCUACAGCCGGUGAGUGCCAGACAGGCUGUAUAUGUGUCUCUCUGACACUGCAGAUGUGUCUCUACACGUGUGUGUCUGUGGGGUCAGGGAUGCAUUGAAUCAAGUCAUAGUUUUCUAAGCCAGGUGGUUCACAGGACAGGACAGGUGGCCCAACUUCUCAGUGGGGAAGCCACCUCCGGAGGCACAGACCACCUGCAGCCCAGCUGGGGUCGGGGGUGGCUGUGGGCAAGGAAGACAGGGCGGAGCAGUCUGGAACUUCUGCUUGGCUGAGGGGGAGGAGGAGGAAGGAGCAGGGCAGAGGGCGAGCAGUGAGCAGCACAUCCUCAGCAAGGGGCUGGGGAAGCCCAGCAGCCACAGGGAGGCCAAAGGGCUCUCAAAAUAUGACCUCCAGUUUCUAGGAGAGGAGCUGGGCUUCAAAGGUGUCCCCUUCCCUGCACGGUCACAUUAUCCCCUCCUUCCCAGUCCUGCCACCAGGAAUAUGGGGGGAACAUCUUUAUUUUCCGGUAACUGCUUUGCUUAGGCUCGGGGCUGGGCAUUUUCCACUUGCAAUCUCUGUGCGCUUGCUCACUGUGACCUGUGCUUUUUUCCCCCCUAUCCUAAAGACCAGGAAACUGAGGCUCAGAGGGAGUAGGUGGGUUGCUCAAGGUAACAGGCUGAUGGGUGUCAGCUGAGGCGAACCUGUGUAUGCUGAAGGCCAGAGUAGAGGUAUCACUUGACAGUCAUCUACCUCUGGGCUGCCCUCUCUCUGCUGUGAAUACCCCCCUGCCCCCCCCCCCCCCCCCGCCACACACACACACACACAGACACAGUCAGGCCCUUGAUGGAGGGUGACAGCCCAGAUGGCCAGGGUAUCCACAUGACAGUUGUCUCUGUUUAUGAUAUACACACAAAACAACAACAACAACACAAUAUUAGACCUAGUGAAAGCCAUGCUUUUACACCCUUCUCUUCUUUCUGGGUAUGAUGAGGCAGUCGGGGGCCAGGGAGCCUCUAAUUAGCAUAGUGUUAAGAACAUGAACUUUGGAAUCAGCCUGGAACCUGAAUCUCCGUUUAUGAGCUCUGGGUCACUGGAUGAGUCACUCAACUUUUCCAAGCUCAUUUCUUCAUCUGAAAAAUGGGAUAAUAGUAUUUACCUCCUUGGCUACUGUGUGGAUUAAAUGAGGCAAAGCGUAUGUGUGCACAGCAUUUGGCAGCCAAUAACCACCCAAUAACUGGAAGCUCUAAUUAUUCCUAAUAAUAAUGGUGGUGGCAACAAAACCAACCAAAGCAGCUGGAUGAUCACAAAAAACAAGGCUGUACCACGUAUCCUAUCUUCAUCCCUGUUUUACCAAUGAGGAAGUUGGACACAAAGUUCAUCCACUUACCUAACCUCACACAGAGCAGAGCAAGGACUUUGACCCAAGCAUUGAGGACUCCAGCAUCUGUCUUCUUAGCCAGCACACCAGGGGGGCUCCAAAUCAGGUGACCCCUGCACCAAAGCCCGACACGGGCAAAAUGAGUGCUGCUGGGAAAGAUGAGGAUGGAGAGAAAGCCGCUUGUACGGAGCACUGCUGUGGGACCAGGCGCUGUGCUAACUGCUCCCCUGUAAUGUCCUCACAAACCCCUGCCACGGAGCUGGGAUCGCUCAGGAGGCGAUGACACUAGCACUCUUCCAGAUGAGGCACCCUCCUGGCUUCCUCAGUGCCAGGCCUUGGAUGAAAAAGUGGUGCGACCAAAGAUCCCUGUUACGAUGUCCGGGAGGGCUGGUGCUGGUGACUGCAGGUGAUGGGGGAGAGCCGCUGCUGGAGCACCCCAUCCCACACUCGGGGUGACCAAGAGGGAGUUCACUCACCUGGAGUUCCAAGUGCAAUCGUUUGUGAUGCUGCCAGAAGCGCUGUGUUGAGAAAUCGGGCAUGAUAGACUGUUGACGUGUGCCAUCGGUGCCAGGUUGGGACGGGAGGAGACAUGCGUUUCAAGUGUUGGCCGUCCCUGCCUUGUCCCCACCUGGAAUCCCACAGCAAGGGUAAUGAGGCAGUGUCCCCGUGGGGGAGGGAUCAGGGGGGCCAGACCACAACCAGACGCUUCGUGCCUUGAUACCAAGACAGCUGCUUAGACAGCCCGAUGCCUUGACGCCUCGAGUGGAUGGCGCAGAACCUGAGUCCCCUUCGCAUCAGAGAGAUGGAGUCCCAGCUCACCCACUGCCCACUGAGACACCUAGGCGAACACCGAGGGAAAGGCCUGGAAGCGAGGCAUCACACGAGGGGAGAGAGCAGUCAGGACUCCACAGCCGUGCCUAUCUUUAGCCACUGAUGUUUUCUGGAGAAUCCGUGUGGAGAAGGAAUGGGGUGUGCAAGAAGGCGAGCAAGUGCUCCGAGGGGUGGAGCCGCAGGAGCCCCUUGGACGAGUGGGAGAGUUCCACCUGCUCUUGGGAGGUGGCUCUCCUGGCCCCUGAGAAUUUCUGGAUGGGGAGGAAGAAUGACUCUUAGGUGGGUAGGACAACUCCCAGAGCCCCAGCCCUUGGGGAUGUCAUGGGGAGAGCGGGGAGGCUGAGUAGCAGGUGUGAGGCCUAGCAGCGUCCCUGCCUGCGCCACCACCGUUGCCACGCACCCCGGCCCAGCCUGGCUUCCCUGGUCCUUCCCCAGCACGGCCACCUGCAACUUCAGCACACUUCUUUGCUUCUCUUGCUUUCCUUUCUCAAGGCCCCAAACUCACUCCUCAUGCCUUUAACAUGAUGCCCUCAGCUCCUUUUUUAUUGUAAGGACCACGCUAGGGCCCCUGUGGCCUUUCUCUUUCCUCUUAUGCCCCACAUUCACCUGCUCCCUCCCGCCACUGUGGUGGAAGGCUGUCCCCUCUGUUCCAAGGAGAGCCCCCCACCCAACUGGGUCUUCCAUCCCAUCAGCCCGCUGUUCCCUCCUCCAGGACUUUCCAGCUCUGUCUCUCCACAGACACCACCCUGCUUCAGAGAGCUCCCCUGGCAGGCUGUCGCCUUGCACCUGGGGCCUUUGGAGCCACCUACCAAGAGCUCCCUUCCCUUCGUUGCCAAAUACAACAUGUCUCUGGCUUGAUAAGUUGGUUGGCUGCUUGCUCGCUUGGUUGAUUGAUUAAUUGCUGCCAAAGCCACCUCCACCUUCCUGCCCCUGACUCUGCCUCGGAGCCUCAGCACAAAGGGUUCCUUAUCUCCACCCCUGGGCGCUGGCCAGCCCUGGAGUCUCUUCCCUCCAGCCCACAGACGACUCACCUGCCUCUUCCCCACGGUUCCCAUGCUCCGCGUGACCUCAGGCCCCCAGAUGUUCCUGGAAUUCUGAGCGUGACUCAGAAUGGACAUCUGUCACUCCACACUGAGGCUGCCUCAGCUUGUCACAAAGCCUCUGUUUCCUGAGUCAAAUGGUGAUAAUCACACCUGCCUCACAGGGUAAAGACGAAAUAGAAUAAUAACUGUAAAAUGCUUAGCAUGGUGCCAGACAACAUUAAGUGUUCAAUAAAUAAUAAUAAUUGUGAA